rnacentral:lncRNA from 10 species
GUCGGCCUGUUUUUACUGUCUUCUGCUAGGCGGCCCAUGGGCAGAGCUGGGACACUAGUGGGAAGGAAGGAAAGAAGGAAGAAGGCCCUGGCUGACGGGCCUGAGGACAAGACCCAAGGAGAGCCUCCCUGAAGAUGCCUAGCCUCCUCCUCUCUACCUUGGGAUCGCCUUGGUGCCAUCCUCAGUGUUUCCCCAGUGACGGGGUGGAGUAAGGAUGCACACAGCACAGGUGCCUGAGCCGGUUGGUCUGGAUUCCCAGGAAGAAUUCCAGGUUGGAGAAAAGGGAAUCCUCUAGUCCAACUGAGCAGAGACUCCUCUCAGUGAGAGAAAGGCAUGAUGGAUGGGCCACGUUCCGAUGUGGGCCGUUGGGGUGGCAACCCCUUGCAGCCCCCUACCACGCCAUCUCCAGAGCCAGAGCCAGAGCCAGACGGACGCUCUCGCAGAGGAGGAGGCCGUUCCUUCUGGGCUCGCUGCUGUGGCUGCUGUUCAUGCCGAAAUGCGGCAGAUGACGACUGGGGACCUGAACC